rfam:Picea glauca, whole genome shotgun sequence.
GUAGCUCAAUGGAAGAACACUUGCCUUAAAAGUAGGAGGGUGGUGGUUAGAUUCCACCC